rnacentral:rRNA from 1 species
GUCUACGGCCAUGCCACCCUGAACAUACCUGAUCUUGUCUGAUUUUGGAAGCUCAGCAGGGUCGAGUCUGGUUAGUACUUGGAUGGGAGACUGCCUAGGAAGACCAGGUGCUGUAGGCG